GUAUACCAAUCAGUUGUCAGUUCGCAUCCAACUAGAAAGCAGUUAACGAGCAGAUUCCGUUGCGUUUGCGGUUAAAAGCCACGAGGUCGAUCAGCGUUUAGCGCGCUACUUAACCCCCAACGUCACCAAAUUCUUUCGAGUCCAAAAAGAAAAAGAAAAAACCGAUACGGUUGAUCACGUGUUUACCUCUCCGCUCUCUGAACUCCGCCCCGCCCCUGUUACUCCAUAGGCGAACGAUGAGUGAACUCAAAAGUAAAGAGUUUAGCAAAAUUCCAAAUCAAAACAUUUACUACAUGUGAAAGAAAGAAAAAACUCAAGCAACAGCAACAGCCGCCCACAAAAUACCAACAACAAGUGCUUAACUUAUGCAAGUGUGAGCAGCUAAAUACACACA